AUUGAACGCUGGCGGCAGGCCUAACACAUGCAAGUCGAGCGGCAGCGGGACCUUCGGGUUGCCGGCGAGCGGCGGACGGGUGAGUAAUGCCUAGGAAUCUGCCUGUUAGUGGGGGAUAACGCGGGGAAACUCGCGCUAAUACCGCAUACGUCCUACGGGAGAAAGCGGGGGCUCUUCGGACCUCGCGCUAACAGAUGAGCCUAGGUCGGAUUAGCUAGUUGGUGGCGUAAUGGCCCACCAAGGCGACGAUCCGUAACUGGUCUGAGGGGAUGAUCAGUCACACUGGAACUGAGACACGGUCCAGACUCCUACGGGAGGCAGCAGUGGGGAAUAUUGGACAAUGGGCGAAAGCCUGAUCCAGCCAUGCCGCGUGUGUGAAGAAGGUCUUCGGAUUGUAAAGCACUUUAAGUCGGGAGGAAGGGCUGUAGGUUAAUACCCUGCGGUUUUGACGUUACCGACAGAAUAAGCACCGGCUAACUUCGUGCCAGCAGCCGCGGUAAUAC
rnacentral:rRNA from 1 species